AUUGAAUGCUGGCGGCAGGCUUAACACAUGCAAGUCGAGCGAGUGGCGGACGGGGGAGUAAUGUCUGGGAAACUGCCUGAUGGAGGGGGAUAACUACCGGAAACGGUAGCUAAUACCGCAUACCAUCGGAUGUGCCCAGAUGGGAUUAGCUAGUAGGCGGGGUAAAGGCUCACCUAGGCGACGAUCCCUAGCUGGUCUGAGAGGAUGACCAGCAACACUGGAACUGAGACACGGUCCAGAGUCCUACGGUAGGCAGCAGUAGGGAAUAUUGCACAAUGGGCGCAAGCCUGAUGCAGCCAAGCCGCGUGUGUGAAGAAGGCCUUCGGGUUGUAAAGCACUUUCAGCGGGUAGGCGUUACUCGCAGAGAAAGCACCGGCUAACUCCGUGCCAGCAGCCGCGGUAAUAC
rnacentral:rRNA from 1 species